UAUCCUACGGGGGGCAGCAGUGAGGAAUAUUGGUCAAUGGACGAAAGUCUGAACCAGCCAUGCCGCGUGCAGGAAGACGGCUCUAUGAGUUGUAAACUGCUUUUGUACAAGGGUAAACCUGAAUACGUGUAUUCAGCUGAAAGUACUGUACGAAUAAGGAUCGACUAACUCCGUGCCAGCAGCCGCGGUAAUACGUAGGGGGCAAGCGUUAUCCGGAUUUACUGGGUGUAAAGGGGCGCAGACGGCAGCGCAAGCCAGGAGUGAAAGCCCGGGGCCCAACCCCGGGACUGCUCUUGGAACUGCGC
rnacentral:rRNA from 1 species